CUCACCAAAUCCAUGUCUCAAUGGCGGUAUUUGUACAUCUACUGGCGGAUCGAGUUACAGCUGCGAUUGUUCAUCUGGAUGGUAUGGAUCAACUUGUAACUCACACGCAUGCUCACCAAAUCCAUGUCUCAAUGGCGGUAUUUGUACAUCUUCUGGCGGAUCGAGUUACAGCUGCGAUUGUUCAUCUGGAUGGUAUGGAUCAACUUGUAACUCAAACCCUUGCUCUCCAAAUCCUUGUAACAAUGGAGGGAUAUGCACUGGAACUGGAGCCACCUCUUUUAAUUGUGCAUGCACCUCGAG